CUACAAACCACCCAGGGUCACACAAGGGCCAUCCACGGUGACCAGCGGUGAGAAACGCAAUGCUGUCCUCGUGCCAUGCUGGAGGUGAACGAGGAGAAUGUGAGCUGGGGUCUCCUCACCAACUGCUCCCCCCACCCCAACCCCCCUGACGGCCAGGGCUGUGUCCGGGGCUCAGGGCACAAGGCUCCGUUAGCUGGGCAGCAGCUGGCCCAUGAAACAGCCCUUUCAGCUCCACCUCUGAAUGGCAGUUCUAUGGGCUCCUCGGAAGAACACAGGCGCCUUCUCUGUGUCACUUCUCCGCUCAUUAGCAGAGCUGCAGAAAUACACUACAGGACUCAAAAUUGAGAACAGUGUGUCCGGUAUGAGCCAGAAGGAAAAAAAAUGCACGAAGGGGCCUUCUGCAAGGUUGCUCACAAGUCAAACAGGCAGCUGUGAAGGGCUCUGCUGUUCCCU
rnacentral:antisense_RNA from 1 species